rnacentral:rRNA from 1 species
GAUGAACGCUAGCUACAGGCUUAACACAUGCAAGUCGAGGGGAAACGACAUCGAAAGCUUGCUUUUGAUGGGCGUCGACCGGCGCACGGGUGAGUAACGCGUAUCCAACCUGCCCAUCACUUGGGAAUAUCCUUGCGAAAGUAAGACUAAUACCCAAUGAUAUCCCACGAAGGCAUCGGAAUGGGAUUAAAGAUUUAUCGGUGAUGGAUGGGGAUGCGUCUGAUUAGCUUGUUGGCGGGGUAACGGCCCACCAAGGCAACGAUCAGUAGGGGUUCUGAGAGGAAGGUCCCCCACAUUGGAACUGAGACACGGUCCAAACUCCUACGGGAGGCAGCAGUGAGGAAUAUUGGUCAAUGGGCGAGAGCCUGAACCAGCCAAGUAGCGUGCAGGAAGACGGCCCUAUGGGUUGUAAACUGCUUUUAUAAGGGAAUAAAGUGGGUCACGUGUGACUUUUUGCAUGUACCUUAUGAAUAAGGACCGGCUAAUUCCGUG